CGGAUCGGAGUCUGCAACCCGACUCCGUGAAGCUGGAUUCGCUAGUAAUCGCGCAUCAGCCAUGGCGCGGUGAAUACGUUCCCGGGCCUUGUACACACCGCCCGUCAAGCCAUGGGAGCCGGGGGUGCUUGAAGUGCGUCGCCGCAAGGCGCGCCCUAGAGCAAAACCGGUGACUGGGGCUAAGUCGUAACAAGGUAAC
rnacentral:rRNA from 1 species